GUUACAGAGCCAUAAAAAAGAACUGCUGAUGUUGGCUGACAACCUGAAGAAAUACGAGACCCUCAACAAAGAAGAUGUCAAAACGCUGCUUAAGGGGGAACAGCUCAAGAGAUAAAAACACUGACCACCUGGAUAACACAAGGCAAUUUAUCUGUCAAAUUUAAUGAAAACUCAGCAAAGACUGAAAUUUGCCAGCAGAAACUUAGUGUUUUUCUAACUCUGAAACUCAAGGAAAGAAGAUAAACAUGAAUUUGACAGGUGAAAAUGUAUUUUAUUCAGUGAUAAUUGAAAAUAGGAAAACGCAAUUAAUAAAAAUAUUUACAGUCAAAAUACAAACAGCAUGUGUUUUUUUUUCAAGGGCUUUUUUUUAUAUAGAUCUAAAGAUAAUUAUAAACAAAAAUCAAAAUGUAAUGCGAGAAUUUCAAAGAUUCUCAAAUAAUUUGAGCAAAUUUAUAAAUGGUGGAAACAUGUACAAGGUAUAUAUCACGUCUGAAGUUGACCAAACAAAAUGAACUUGAUGUCA
rnacentral:misc_RNA from 1 species